rnacentral:rRNA from 1 species
GAUGAACGCUAGCUACAGGCUUAACACAUGCAAGUCGAGGGGUAACGAGAGGAAAGCUUGCUUUCCUUGUCGACGACCGGCGCACGGGUGAGUAACGCGUAUCCAACCUGCCCCCAACUAGGGAAUAACCUUGCGAAAGUAAGACUAAUACCCUAUAAUUUCCUCAGAUGACAUCUGACGAGGAAUAAAGAUUUAUCGGUUGUGGAUGGGGAUGCGUCUGAUUAGCUUGUCGGCGGGGUAACGGCCCACCAAGGCAACGAUCAGUAGGGGUUCUGAGAGGAAGGUCCCCCACAUUGGAACUGAGCCACGGUCCAAACUCCUACGGGAGGCAGCAGUGAGGAAUAUUGGUCAAUGGGCGGAAGCCUGAACCAGCCAAGUAGCGUGCAGGAUGACGGCCCUAUGGGUUGUAAACUGCUUUUAUACAGGAAUAAAGUUAGCCACGUGUGGUUAUUUGUAGGUACUGUAUGAAUAAGGACCGGCUAAUUCCGUGCCAGCAGCCGCCGUAA